rnacentral:rRNA from 1 species
GCUUACGGCCACACCGGCCUGAGUACGCCUGAUCUCGUCCGAUCUCGGAAGCUAUGCAGGGUCGGGCCUGGUUAGUACUUGGAUGGGAGACCGCCUGGGAAUACCAGGUGCUGUAAGCU